rnacentral:rRNA from 1 species
UACGAGGGGGGCGAGCGUUGUUCGGAAUUAUUGGGCGUAAAGGGUGCGUAGGCGGUUCCGCAAGUCCUGUGUGAAAUCUUCGGGCUCAACUCGAAGUCUGCACGGGAAACUGGAGUGCUUGAGCGUGGGAGAGGAAAGCGGAAUUCCUGGUGUAGCGGUGAAAUGCGUAGAUAUCAGGAGGAACACCUGUGGUGUAGACGGCUUUCUGGACCAUAGCUGACGCUGAGACACGAAAGCGUGGGUAGCAAACAGG